rnacentral:miRNA from 1 species
CAGUCCAAUUUGAAUUUCAGAUAAACAGUGAAUAAUUUUUUGGUAUCAGUACUUCCCAUGCAAUCUUUGCAACAUAUUUAUACUAAAAAAUUAUUUGUUUGUUUCAAGUUCAAA